GUUUGGAGACGGUUCUCAGAAGAAACUGUCGGUGAAUUCAAACAUGAGCUAGAUUUCAGAAAGUUAGUUAAUGUGGAUAAGCAGCCAUCGGGGACCGAUCUAUGUGGAUACUAUGUUUGUGAGAACAUCCGGAGACAAACCACUGAGCGGAAGGCAUCAGCUAGCGUGCGGAACGCGACGGAUAACUUGCGGAGGAGGCUUAGUCCAGAAGCUCGCUUCCGACCAAUUCAAGAAGAAUUAGCAGGAUUUUUCAUGAGGGAAGUCAUCAAUCCUAAAGGACAACACUAUACCGAGGAC
rnacentral:rRNA from 1 species